AAAAGGGAAACGGGCAAGCGAUGGCUAAGGCUUUGAACGUAUGCGAGGCAGCUUGGCAAGGGCUUGACAAUGAGUUGCAGGCUACGAAUGGCACUUGAUCAUGAUUAUAGCAUCAAGGCAUGAGGCAUUGAUGCCAAGGCAUGGCAGAAAUGGAUGGGCAAAUACAAGCAAAUGUGCAACGGAAAGGCAAUUUGCGGGUAGAUUUGGUGUGGGUUCGAGUUGCGGCAAACGGGCCAAGUUCGUGGGCAAUGGUAAGAUAAAUUGGGGCACAAUGCAGCCGGAUACAAUGGCAUUGAUGCCUGGUCCAAGCCAAGGCACGAAAUUGGGCAGCAAGACGAGAAUGGACCAAGUUAAAGGGCAUUUACCGGCACAUGUUGUGCACAUGGGAAGCGGUUGAGCCUUAUCCAAAAAGGCUGGCAGGAGUUAGCACGAAUUGAGGCCAUGAUCUCAUGAUCUUUAACAUGUUUCUAGUAGUUAGGGGUGUCAACUACACUAGGAUAAAGUAGUGGGAAAGUGCCAAGCCUAAAAACUAGGCAACUAUUGUAAACAUAGGGUUGUUUCAUAAAUUAUAAAUGGGCAGCACCCUUCCUUUAACUACACUAGGAUAAAGUAGUGGGCAAGUGCCAAGCCUAAAUAUUAGGCAUUUAUUGUAAACAUGGGGUUGUUUCAUAAACUAUAAAUAGGCAGCACCCUUCCAUUUUGUGGCAUAAGAGUAAGAAACGUGUGAGAGCACAUGUUGUGAGUUAGGAAGAUUCCUAAAUUCGUUUUCAAGAGUGAAAACAACCUAAGGCUGAGAGUAGUCUUGUGAGGGUAAAGAAUUAUCCUUUUUGUACGCAGAGUGUAAUUUGAGUUUGAGUUUUCUUUGUAUUCUCGAGUUAAAUACAAAGUUGUGAAAGAGUUCCUGUAUACUGUGUGCCUUUUGUUCAAGUUUUAUUUCUGUCUCUUCACUAUCGUUGCCUAAAUUCAGUGUCUACUUACUACGUUAAAAGAUGCCUAAAAUUAUUCGAAGUCCAAAGUUGCUGAUAUUUUGGCAGAGUGUUGGAGCACGCUGAAGUCAAGUCGAUACUUGGCUACCGCACGGGCUGUUUUAGUAUGAUAUAAAACGAGCUCGUGACAACUGGUAUCAGAACAGAGCAGGUUUGUGGCGGAGACACAACGUGCAGUGGCAGAUUUCGUGGUCUUUUUCGAGAACAUGGCUGGUGGUAACAAUGAAUUGCGGGAAAGGCUAACAAAAUUGGAAGCAUUUGUGAGAAAUGUUCCGGAAGGGGAAGAACUUCAGUCUCUUGUGACAAGACUUGCGUUUCUUGAGGCAUAAAUGGCAAGGCUUAGUCGAGAAAAUGCAAAUCUGAAGACCUAGAUAGUGGUACUAUGACGUGUUGUGGGCGAGGAUGCUCAACAUGGUGCUGAACGUCUCAAAGUGAGAAUACCUGAACCUAAGGCAUUCGGAGGUGCAAGGAGUGCACGUGAAUUGGAGAAUUUUCUUUGGGAUAUGGAGCAGUACUUUCAUGCUAUUCGAGGAUGCUCAACAUGGUGCUGAACGUCUCAAAGUGAGAAUACCUGAACCUAAGGCAUUCGGAGGUGCAAGGAGUGCACGUGAAUUGGAGAAUUUUCUUUGGGAUGCUAUUCGUGUGCAAGACGAGAUAGAGAAAGUAACCUUGACUAGCAUGUAUUUGAGUGAUGAUGCUAAGUUAUGGUGGCGCACUCGUGUGGCUGAAGAUGAAAAACUUGGUAGACCAAAGUUUGAGUCGUGGGAGCGGCUUAAAAAGGAUCUGAAGGAUCAGUUCCUUCCUAGUAAUACAUCGUUGAUUGCUAGGGACAAUCUGAAAAAGUUGAAACAUACCAGAUCAGUUCGAGCUUAUGUAAAGGAGUUCACAUCGUUGAUGCUAAGCAUUAGCAACAUGUGGGAAGAAUACAAGUUGCACAACUUCAUGAGCGGGCUGCAAUAGUGGGCACAACUUGAGUUGCGAAGGCAGAAUAUUGAAUACCUCGCAAGUGUUGUGGCUGCGGUGGAAGCAUUGGGCGAUUUUCAUAUUAAUGAGGAGAAUUCUGCUUCAAAGUCCAACGACGGAAAGAAGGACAAGACAAAGGAGUGGAAGAAAUGUGAAAGUGGCAAUGCACAUGAAGACCGAAGGAAGGGAAAGCAUGAAGCUGGAACAUCAAAGAGCAAGGAGAAGGGCAGCAAAUUCAGUGGUUGUUUCCUUUGUGAUCGACCACAUCGAGCGAGGGACUGUCCAAACAAGGCGGUGUUGAAUGCAAUAACUGUCGUGGAUAAGAGAGUUGCAUUGGAGGCGUUGAACAAUGAUAAACAAGUUGUUGGGUUCAAUGCAAUUGUGGAUGAAGAGAGAGGUGGUCAAGAGGCGUUGCUUGUCAACCCCUUGGGACUCAUAAAUUGAGUUAACCUCGACAAGGACGUCAAGUUUCAAAGAGUGUGAGUGAUUUGUUAGACCUCCGCCAAUUGAGCUCGACUUGAUAACAAUUAACAAGAGUUUUGACAUGAGGCAGCUAGAGUGUUACAAAGACAGGUGCACAAGCAGCACCAAAAUCAAAAAGGAAAAUGGGCAAGCAAUGGCUAAGGCUUUGAACAGAUGCGAGGCAGCUUGGAAAGGGCUUGACAAUAAGUUGUGGGCUACUGAUGGAACUUGAUCAUGAUGAUAGCAUCAAGUCAUAAGGCAUUAAUGCCAAGGCAUGGCAGAAACGGAUGGGCAAAGACAAGCAAAUGUGCAACGGAAAGGCAAUGUGCGGGCAAAUUUGGCGUGGGUUCGAGUUGCGGCAAAAGGGCCAAGUUCGUGGGCAAAUUUAAGGUAAAUUGGGGCACAAUUUAGCUGGAGACAAUGGCAUUGGCGCCUGGUCCAAGCCAACACACAAAAUUGGGCAGCAACAUGAGAAUGGACAAAGUCAAACGGCGGUUACCGGCACAUGCUGUGCACAUGGGCAGCGGUUGACCUUUGUCUAUU
rnacentral:lncRNA from 1 species